rnacentral:rRNA from 1 species
UACGGAGGGGUGCGAGCGUUUGUCCGGAAUCAUUGGGCGUAAAGCGCGCGUAGGCGGCCUCAUAAGUCCGUUGUGAAAGUCAAAGGCUCAACCUUUGAAAGCCGAUGGAUACUGUGAGGCUAGAGUCCGGAAGAGGCGAGUGGAAUUCCUGGUGUAGCGGUGGGAAUGCGCAGAUAUCAGGAGGAACACCAAUAGCGAAGGCAGCUCGCUGGGACGGUACUGACGCUAAGGCGCGAAAAGCGUGGGGGAGCGAACAGG